CCCCAAGCGGCGGCGCGGAGGAGCUCAGCCUCGGUCUCGCGAAAUGGAGCGAGACUACGGAAGCCGGAAGCACUGGGUUAAGCAUUUCCUGAGCUAAGGGCUGCCUACGGCUCCGAGGCCCUGGAAAUGUAAAGAUGAAAAAUACUCCUGAUUCUUGAGUGAUGCACAAUCCAAUAGAAGAUUAGACAUAAGAAGAAAUGUGACACAUGCAUGAAAGAACAUAAUAACACAGAUGCUUUUACAAGGAGAAUCUUCUGGCUAAAGGUUAGGGGGAUGUAGCAAUUCAUGUAAGUAAAGUUCAAAUUUUAUUUACUCAAAAAGUAAUAGCAUCCUUUGCUCUAUAUCCCUGUGCCCUUAAGACUAUAACAAAUCAUCCUUGAGUUUCUUGUCCAUAGUUUGAAAAUGGCUUUAUCCUAAGAAUUUUUCAUUUUGAUAAGUGUUUAUCUCAGAAAGAUUAAGCCAGGAUUCUCUAAACUCACCCUUGGGAAGUAUCUUAAUUUAGUUUUUCAAAUUACUCAACCACUGCCAAUGUUAUUUUGACAACUUCUUAUUCAAGAAGUCUCAUGAAUUUAAAAGUUUAUGUAUAGCCAACAGAUCUAUUCCUCAUGAGAUAUGGGAUCUAAGGCAGUGAGACUCCAUUCUUUCUUAUUAGUGGAAGUGACAAGACUUACUAGAAACUGAAACAAUGGGGUCAAGCACUGAAUAAAGAAAAAGGAAAAAAGCAAGGCUGGGAGACUCUCAACCCAAACUAAAACAUUCAUGAUGUCCUAUAAAGAGAUGGUUGUAGUUGGAGUUUCUGAGUAACAGAACACUAUUUAAGAGAAACUGCUGAUGAUCAUAAAAAGUUAUAAGCAAUGACAGGAGAGCCAAGGACAGAGAAGAGAAGAUGAAUUCUUCUUGUCUUGUGUAAAUGGAAGGCCUCAAUGCUUUUCAGUAUGAUUUGUUUAAGCUGCUUGUGGUUAUCAGUGGGAUACACAAGAGAGAUCAAAUUUCAAAGAACAAUUUGAAAUUUUUGAUUAUUUCUGCAUAUCCAGUAAUAAAGACAAUGAAGAAAUAACCAAAAGUUUAAGACAUUCACAUGCUUAUAAAAUAUUUUCACUUAUUCAUUAUUCUUACUUUAAUAAGCACAUAACUUGAGUAUCCUUCAUAUUCUAAUCACUGGAUGAAAUACAAGAAAAAAGAAAAAGGUCCUUGCCCUUAAGGUGUUUAAAAUCUAUUUGGAAGUAAAAUAUAAUGCUUUUGUUUUGAUUAACUCUCCAUGUUGCUCUAAUAAACUAACUCAUAUGAAGCUUAAAAAUUCAAGUAAAAGUUUUUCCUUUGAAAUGCUUGCGAGAAGUUGAGAAUAGCAUUUCCUUUAUGUAAAAACUGGCUAAAAGAUAAUGCAGCCUAUUCUAUUAGGCUAUUAGAGCCAAAUUUAUUCAUCUUCAAUAUGCUGUAAUUUUAUUCAGAACCUAUUUUUAUUCUGCUAUAUUCUUCAACCCUAAAAUUCACAUGGCCCAAGGGAAAAACAUCUUGGAAUGUAUCAUCUGUUCCACUCAGUAGUUAGACUGCUGAAGUUCCAACAGCUGGAACAUAUUCCUGCUUUGCAUCAUCUCCCUUUAUCCCCAUGGAGCCCUUUAGACUUGUUCUUACUCCCCCUGCUGUCCUUGGGGGAAAGCUUUUAGCAUCUGGUAGCUGGGACUACACGUAAGUUAGAUAUAGAUGCUUUUCUCUGCUGUUUAUGGUCAGUAUUUCAGUUUUCUAGUUCAGUCUGAGCAUGUAAAGCAUGAUAGUGGAGGUGUGUAUGUUUUUCAGGCAGGUGGGAGUUCUGGCAAGGUGGUAUGAGACUAGAAACUAUGUAACAUUAGCUCCUUUGAUAAAGAUGCUUAAGCUACUUCCUUGGGAGAUGAGAAAAUUCUAGGGAAAUGUAACAGUUGUCUUAAAAACCCUGAAAGGUUGAUAUUUGAAUUCAAAAAAGAUUUUGGUGGCUCUUGGAGUCCUAGUAACUCCUAAGGAGUGGAGGAUAGUGGGAGCAACUUUUGGCUCAGCCUCAAAAAAAGAAUUUUCCUAUCCCUAUUGAAGCAGAAGCUCAAUGACUACUUAUGGUCUUUUUUUUUAAAUUUUUUUUAACAUUUAUUUAUUUUUGAGAAACAGAGAGAUAGCAUGAGUAGGGGAGGGGUAGAGGGAGAGAAAGGAAGAUACAGAAUUCAAAGUAGGCUCCAGGCUCUGAGCUGUCAACACAGCCUGACACAAGGUUCAAACCCAUGAAACAUGAGAUCAUGACCUGAGCCGAAGUCGGACGCUUAACCGACUGAGCCACCUAGUACCCCAACUGCUUGUGAUCUUGUAGAGGUGAAGUAAAUGGGAUUAGUCAAGGUGAUGGGACCUGGAUGGGAGUUAGGAUAAGGAUGGCAAAUUGGUUUAAUUCCCCUGCCAACUGUGAUCAACUGGUAAAGCCUGCCUGGAGUCCAAUGGGCCUCUGACACUGUCCAAGCUCACGAGGAAGUGCUGUGAUUGAUUACAAUAGAUUUGCAUGCCAUACAUUUUCUCCCUCUGGGAUGUUACUUCACUAUUAUUUCCAUUCCUUAGAUUCUGUGAUCAUCACUGCUUGGUGUUACUACCAGUUCAAUAUACCCAGCCAGCUCUGUGCAUUCAAAACACAAUUUCAUAUCUACAGUACUUGUCUACUACUUCUUACCUUUUGUUACCCUUGAGUGGUUAAGUAUAUAAUUGAGUUGACCUGAUUAGACUGAAAGAUUAUAGGAAUUUUACUUCCUGCUAUAAUGAAAUUACAAGGAAGCAUAGUGGUAUAUUGGAACAUAAUUUGACUUCUACCCUCACCAUUUCACUGAGACUACAUCCACCAAUGGUGCCACAAAUGAUGUAUGUGUUUCCAAAGGCAUGAACACUUGACAGCUUCUUGAAAUAUUUUUGUCUCUUGGCUCUUACCAUGCUAUUUCCUUCUGCUUUUCUCUCACCUCACUACUUCUUCUUAGUAUCAUUUACUCUCAUCCAAGGACCAAAGUAAGAUCCUCUUCAAGAGAUGAUUAAAAUGUAUCUACUCUCUCAUCUGCCCAUUCCUGUAGAUUUUAAUUCUGUUCUUAUAUUGAUAAUUCCAAAAUUUCUAAACAUAGGUGAGAACUUUAAUUUUCACUCUUUUUUCUAAUCACUUGCUUGAAAUUACCUGUUAGAUGGUUCACCUAAAACUUGCCAUUCAAUAUGGACUCCUGAUCCAUCCCCUACUUUGUUUUCUUGUCCUCUUAAUCAUUCCAUAACAUAAUUAGCCACCCGGGUCCUCA